rnacentral:rRNA from 1 species
AGAAUCUUCCGCAAUGCGCGCAAGCGUGACGGAGCGACGCCGCGUGGGCGAUGAAAGCCUUCGGGUUGUAAAGCCCUGUUACCUGCCAAGAAUGUCAGGCGGUGAAUAGCUGUCCUGAUUGACGUAAGCAGGAGAGGAAGCACCGGCUAAAUCCGUGCCAGCAGCCGCGGUAAUACGUAUGGUGCGAACGUUGUUCGGAAUCACUGGGCAUAAAGAGCGCGUAGGCGGUCUUGUAAGUCUGAUGUGAAAUCCCCCGGCUCAACCGGGGAACUGCAUCGGAUACUGCUCGACUAGAGUGCAGGAGGGGAGAGCGGAAUUCCUGGUGGAGCGGUGAGAUGCGUAGAUAUCAGGAGGAACGCCGGUGGCGAAAGCGGCUCUCUGGCCUGCAACUGACGCUGAGGCGCGAAAGCUAGGGGAGCAAAC